rnacentral:sRNA from 1 species
ACUGGGCGUGGUGGUGCAUGCCUGUAAUCCCAGCAGCUCAGGAGGCUGAGGCAGGAGGAUUGCAAGUUCAAAGCCAGCCUCAGCAAUUUAGUGAGGUCCUAAGCAACUUAGCAAGACCCCUGUCUCAA